rnacentral:rRNA from 1 species
UGGGGAAUAUUGGACAAUGGGCGCAAGCCUGAUCCAGCCAUGCCGCGUGAGUGAUGAAGGCCCUAGGGUUGUAAAGCUCUUUCACCGGUGAAGAUAAUGACGGUAACCGGAGAAGAAGCCCCGGCUAACUUCGUGCCAGCAGCCGCGGUAAUACGAAGGGGGCUAGCGUUGUUCGGAUUUACUGGGCGUAAAGCGCACGUAGGCGGACUAUUAAGUCAGGGGUGAAAUCCCGGGGCUCAACCCCGGAACUGCCUUUGAUACUGGUAGUCUUGAGUUCGAGAGAGGUGAGUGGAAUACCGAGUGUAGAGGUGAAAUUCGUCGAUAUUCGGAGGAACACCAGUGGCGAAGGCGGCUCACUGGCUCGAUACUGACGCUGAGGUGCGAAAGCGUGGGGAGCAAACAGG